AAUGAAAGGGAAAAUCAAGAACGAAUCGGGAAUACUGGAAUCUGGGUGUGCCAAUUUCUAUCAGAAUCCAUAAAUAUUUCUUCUUUGUUUAAAGAUUGGCGGGAGAUUCCCCUGCGGUGCCCUAAUUUCAGUGAUCGCUGUAUUUAAAUGCCGAUGCCAAAGUUCUAGCGGCAUUGUUCGACAUCGGGAGCGGAAGUUCUUAUGCCCAAAUAGCAGAAAUAAGCUACGUUGUAUACCUAAAUUUGCUCAAGGGGUCUUAAGCCAUUAUUUCUUGCUUUAAUCCUUGGGCUGUCAAGUGUUGCUCAAGAUUGCCGAUGCUUUCUUGUGGGUUAUGGUGUACAUUAGGACAGGAAGAUUCAUCUCAUAAGUUUAUAACUUGAACAUCGCUCGAUCGAUCGUUCUUAUUUUGAAGCGUGUGUUCUUCAAUGAACA